rnacentral:rRNA from 1 species
UACGAGGGGGGCAAGCGUUGUCCGAAGUUACUGGGCGUAAAGCGCACGUAGGCGGCUAUUCAAGUCAGAGGUGAAAGCCCGGGGCUCAACCCCGGAACUGCCUUUGAAACUAGGUAGCUAGAAUCUUGGAGAGGUCAGUGGAAUUCCGAGUGUAGAGGUGAAAUUCGUAGAUAUUCGGAAGAACACCAGUGGCGAAGGCGACUGACUGGACAAGUAUUGACGCUGAGGUGCGAAAGCGUGGGGAGCAAACAGG